AGGAAGGCGGGGACGACGUCAAGUCAUCAUGGCCCUUACGGCCAGGGCUACACACGUGCUACAAUGGUCGGUACAAAGGGUUGCUACACAGCGAUGUGAUGCUAAUCUCAAAAAGCCGAUCGUAGUCCGGAUUGGAGUCUGCAACUCGACUCCAUGAAGUCGGAAUCGCUAGUAAUCGCGGAUCAGAAUGCCGCGGUGAAUACGUUCCCGGGCCUUGUACACACCGCCCGUCACACCAUGGGAGUUUGUUGCACCAGAAGUAGCUAGCCUAACUGCAAAGAGGGCGGUUACCACGGUGUGGCCGAUGACUGGGGUGAAGUCGUAACAAGGUAGCCGUAGGGGAACCUGCGGCUGGAUCACCUCCUUAA
rnacentral:rRNA from 1 species